rnacentral:rRNA from 1 species
AGCUCGUGUCGUGAGAUGUGGUUAAGUCCGCAACGAGCGCAACCCCUAUUGUUAGUUGCCAUCAUUCAGUUGGGCACUCUAGCGAGACUGCCGGUAAUAAACCGGAGGAAGGUGGGGAUGACGUCAAAUCAUCAUGCCCCUUAUGACCUGGGCUACACACGUGCUACAAUGGUUGGUACAACGAGUUGCGAGUCGGUGACGGCGAGCUAAUCUCUUAAAGCCAAUCUCAGUUCGGAUUGUAGGCUGCAACUCGCCUACAUGAAGUCGGAAUCGCUAGUAAUCGCGGAUCAGCACGCCGCGGUGAAUACGUUCCCGGGCCUU